rnacentral:rRNA from 1 species
UACAGAGGUCUCAAGCGUUGUUCGGAUUCAUUGGGCGUAAAGGGUGCGUAGGCGGCGCGGUAAGUCGGGUGUGAAAUCCCCGGGCUCAACCCGGGAACUGCGUCCGAUACUGGAAGGCUUGAAUCCGGGAGAGGGAUGCGGAAUUCCAGGUGUAGCGGUGAAAUGCGUAGAUAUCUGGAGGAACACCGGUGGCGAAGGCGGCAUCCUGGACCGGUAUUGACGCUGAGGCGCGAAAGCCAGGGGAGCAAACGGG